CUACGGGCCGCAGCAGUGGGGAAUAUUGCACAAUGGGCGCAAGCCUGAUGCAGCCAUGCCGCGUGUAUGAAGAAGGCCUUCGGGUUGUAAAGUACUUUCAGCGGGGAGGAAGGGAGAAAAGUUAAUACCUUUGCUCAUUGACGUUACCCGCAGAAGAAGCACCGGCUAACUCCGUGCCAGCAGCCGCGGUAAUACGGAGGGUGCAAGCGUUCAUCGGAAUUACUGGGCGUAAAGCGCGCGCAGGCGGUUUGUUAAGUCAGAUGUGAAAUCCCCGGGCUCAACCUGGGAACUGCAUCUGAUACUGGCAAGCUGGAGUCUCGUAGAGGGGGGUAGAAUUCCAGGUGUAGCGGUGAAAUGCGUAGAGAUCUGGAGGAAUACCGGUGGCGAAGGCGGCCCCCUGGACGAAGACUGACGCUCAGGUGCGAAAGCGUGGGGAGCAAACAGGAUUAGAUACCCCGGUAGUC
rnacentral:rRNA from 1 species